rnacentral:rRNA from 1 species
CAGAUGGCGACCGGCGCACGGGUGAGUAACACGUAUCCAACCUGCCGCUUACUCGGGAUAGCCUUUCGAAAGAAAGAUUAAUACCCGAUGGUAUAAAGAGUUCGCAUGUUCUCUUUAUUAAAGAAUUUCGGUAAGCGAUGGGGAUGCGUUCCAUUAGAUAGUUGGCGGGGUAACGGCCCACCAAGUCUACGAUGGAUAGGGGUUCUGAGAGGAAGGUCCCCCACAUUGGAACUGAGACACGGUCCAAACUCCUACGGGAGGCAGCAGUGAGGAAUAUUGGUCAAUGGACGAGAGUCUGAACCAGCCAAGUAAGCGUGAAGGAUGACUGCCCUAUGGGUUGUAAACUUCUUUUAUAAGGGAAUAAAGUGAGGGACGUGUCCCUUUUUGUAUGUACCUUAUGAAUAAGGAUCGGCUAACUCCGUGCCAGCCGCGGC